rnacentral:lncRNA from 1 species
GGAUUCUAAAAGGUUAUAUAUAGUAAUCGGACAACCAAUUAUACCCCAUUCUGGUUAUAAUAGUAUAGUAUAGAUAGGAAUCUGGCAUACCCAUAGGAAGUCCGGUUACAAGCAUAAAGCAUUUUAAAGAAUAGUGGAUUUUGUAAAAUUCUAAAAGGUUAUAUAUAGUAAUCGGGCAUACCUGUUGGAUUUUAUUGAAUUUUAGUUAAAUCUGACUUCCAAUCAAAGUUGAUAAAGGCUUCCUUUGUUUUGUAAUCUUUGUAGUUACAAAAGGAACCAGAACUUUUCCUUAAAUAAGUUGCAUUUUAUAGUUUCUAGGUAGAUGAAAUGUUUCAUAAGUAAAUAUAGGUAACUUUAAUUUUUAACUAAAAGAACCAAGUGACUUGCAGUUACCGUUACCAUGGGUAGGCUAGGCAAGUGGGCUGCUUAAAUU